UCCUCACUUCCCAGUAGGGGCGGCCGGGCAGAGGCGCCCCUCACCUCCCGGACGGGGCGGCUGGCCGGGCGGGGGGGCUGACCCCCCCCCCCACCUCCCUCCCGGACGGGGCGGCUGGCCGGGCGGGGGGCUGACACCCCCACCUCCCUCCCGGACGGGGCGGCUGGCCGGGCAGAGGGGCUCCUCACUUCCCAGUAGGGGCAGCCGG
rnacentral:lncRNA from 1 species